CCUAUGCCACAAGUUUACCUGUGUAACGAACCUGCACUUGCACCCCUGAACUUAAAAUAACAGUUAAAAACAUAAAUAAAGGGUUUUUCUGUUUCAGUUAUACGUCAAGAAGAGCUGCUCUCAUUACCUGUGUCGCAGGCAAAUGAAAGCCUUGUUUGAUUAGUUAUGUAAUCCAGGAGAACAUGUAACUCAUCAUUUUCAGGAAGGUUGUCAGUGAAGAGAAGAGAAAGAGGGUAGAAGCUUCUUUUAGGAUGGAAGAGAAGAAGACAGUUGGAGUGGGACAAGUUCCAUUUGAUGGUGUGUGGCCGCUAUAGCAAGAGCGCCUUGCCUUCUGGGUUAUUGGCUACUCUGUCAACCAUGCACAUUGAGGAAGGCCUGACUCCACCACCUCAGCCCCAGUGAGCUCAAAGAAUGGAGUGGAUGAACUUUGUAGCAGAGACUUGGCACCAGAAAACACAGUCAUGGUACAGGAGUGCUGGAGCCAGCUGUGACCUCUGUUCCUUACUUCACACUCGUGAACAUUAAGUCAGUCGUUUAAAAUCGGCCAUGGCGAGAGUCUUCACACCAUGGCAAUCGGCAAAAGUUACAAAAUAGAUCCUUCUCAUCCCCAGGGGAGACCACCGUGAAGACUCACCUGCCUACCCCUGUUUCUAACUUCCAGUAUCUGGAAAGCCCAAUUUCCAUAUGAAGGCUGUCACGUUAAUGUGUAAAACCUUGAAAUCUCUUUGAGGAAAGUGGUUGUGAUCAGCAAGUGUCAUCAGGUGCACUUGGACGCCUUGGCUGGGCGCCUUGGCUGAGCGCCUUGGCUGAGGGCCAGGGGAGGCUGCUCUGUUCCCUGCGCUAGCACUGGCAUGCCCCACCUGGCAAUACCGGGAACCCAUACAUAUGCCUAAUCUUAUGUUUCACAGCUGCUCUUCUGUCCAAAUGGCAAUGCAAAGAAAACAUAUUUUCAUACCUAAUGAGAAGAGUUUUGCAAAUAAGGCUGACAUAACCUUAGAUAGAGGGUCAGGCACAGGAUCUGCCCAAGCACCUUCCCAUCUCUUUAGGUGGUGGAGCUGCAGCUGUAGAUACAAGCUGUCUGCUAAGCAGACUAUGAAUGGAGCCUCCUCUAAGGGGCCCUAUCUGGGAUGCAGGAGCAUUGUGGGAAGUGAAUUUACCCAUAGAUACAGACACUUCUGCCUUUCUUUGAUACCAGAAUGUAGUAGUAAAAUGUAUUAGUUUAAGAAGGAAUCCCCUAAUGAGCUUAAAACACCUUUUAUGAUGCCCCAUUGACUACAUUACCAUUGCUUGUAGGAUUUCUUCUUCUUCUUUUUUUAAUGGUUUUAUUGAAUUAUAAUUUUCAUACCAUACAAUUCAUUCACUUUAAAUGUACAAUGAUAUUUAGUAAUAGAAACUUGUGCAACUACCACCACCAUCAAGUUUCAGAACAUUUUCAUCACCCCAAAAACUUCCUCUUACUCAUUUGCAGCCAGUCCUGCUCCCACGGGCCAUGACAGCCACAGACAAUGCCUCAUCUUUCUGUCUAUAUUUUUAAAUCUUUUCUAGAAAUUUUCAUAUAAAUAGGAUCAUGCAAUUUUACUGUUUGGUGGCUGACUUCUUCCACUUAGCAUAAUGCCGUGAGGCUCAUACGUGAUGCUGCCUGUAUUUGUAGUUUGCCUCUUUUAUGCUGAGUAGUACUCCAUGGCACAAAUGUACUACAUUUUGCUAAUUUUCCUAUCAAUAGAGAUUUGGAUGCUUUCCAGUUUGGGGCUGUCAUGGAUGUUGUUGUUAUGAACAUUUUUAUAA